GAUGAACGCUGGCGGCGUGCCUAAUACAUGCAAGUCGAGCGAACGGACGAGAAGCUUGCUUCUCUGAUGUUAGCGGCGGACGGGUGAGUAACACGUGGAUAACCUACCUAUAAGACUGGGAUAACUUCGGGAAACCGUAGCUAAUACCGGAUAAUAUUUUGAACCGCAUGGUUCAAAAGUGAAAGACGGCCUUGCUGUCACUUAUAGAUGGAUCCGCGCUGCAUUAGCUAGUUGGUAAGGUAACGGCUUACCAAGGCAACGAUGCAUAGCCGACCUGAGAGGGUGAUCGGCCACACUGGAACUGAGACACGGUCCAGACUCCUACGGGAGGCAGCAGUAGGGAAUCUUCCGCAAUGUGCGAAAGCCUGACGGAGCAACGCCGCGUGAGUGAUGAAGGUCUUCGGAUCGUAAAACUCUGUUAUUAGGGAAGAACAUAUGUGUAAGUAACUGUGCACAUCUUGACGGUACCUAAUCAGAAAGCCACGGCUAACUACGUG
rnacentral:rRNA from 1 species